rnacentral:rRNA from 1 species
UACGGAGGGUGCGAGCGUUGUCCGGAAUCACUGGGCGUAAAGGGCGCGUAGGCGGCCGUGUAAGUCACUUGUGAAAUCCCGGGGCUCAACUCCGGGGCCGCAGGUGAGACUGCGUGGCUAGAGCACGGUAGAGGCGAGUGGAAUUCCCGGUGUAGCGGUGGAAUGCGUAGAUAUCGGGAAGAACACCGGUGGCGAAGGCGGCUCGCUGGGCCGUUGCUGACGCUGAGGCGCGAAAGCGUGGGGAGCAAACAGG